rnacentral:lncRNA from 1 species
AUUGAUCUCACUUGAUUGAUUCUUUAUAUCAUUGUCAUCAUCCUCAUGCUUAUAUUGUGGUGAAAGUCAUCUUUGUCCCGUAGUGCAAAGAUGAACUGUUGAUUGGUAUAAUUAUGACCAGGAAUUGUGUAAUGGUAUAAUCAUGACUUGUAAUGUUACAGUCAAAGGUUUGCGGUGAAAGUCCUUUUUGGCCCGUAGUGCAUAGAUGGACAGUUGUUUGACAUGAUCAUGACAACUAGUGAUACAAACGAAUAUCUUUGCUCGUAGUGCAUGGAUAAUUUGUU